UUUAAUUUUAUCUUUCUGAACUUUUACGUGACAUUACAAGUUCUAUCCAUCAAACCCUACUUUUUUCUCAGAAACUUUUUUCAUCAUUAUAUUUCGGCUAUUGGUCAGUAGAUGGCUAGAUUGCAGUAACACCCGGCUGUAACCAUGACGACGACAGCUUCAUCUUCCAGAGUUGCUGGCGCACGUCGUUGGAUCAAAUACACCGGUUCGCGAUUUUUGUUCCGCAGUCAAGCAAAAACGUUCCAAAGCUAAGAUCAUAGCACGCUUCGCGUUCCACACACGAAUGUCGCGCAAAACAGAGACUCGAAAAAUUUAUUGAGACGUACGUAAAGUGUCAACACGAAAAUACAAAAAUGAUUCUGGUAAUGAUGGCAGAUUAACUUUGUGUUCAAUUCCUGAACAUGGCUCUACAAUGGGAGAAAUUAUCUCCUCAAGAAUUUCAACAGCUACAAGACUUGGCAGCAUAUUCCACGAAAAAACUACAAGACGUUUUAGUAGAAUUUUGUGGUGCCGGGCCUCCUUACAAACAUAAUCCAGAUGGGG